AGGGAAGGGAAGGGAAGGGAAGGGAAGGGAAGGGAAGGAAAGGGAAGGGGAAAAGAAAAGAAUGGAUACUUUGAGGCUCUGAACAGCUGCCACCCCUAUGAUAACAGAGCUGAUUUCGCACUGUGCUGGGCUGUCCACAGCCUGUAUGACCCGUUCGCUGGCCCAACAUUUUGGGGACUGCAGGGAAAUUUUCUGAGGACUUUGCCCCUGGGAACCACUCAACCGAAGCCUCAGCAGGGGCCCCAGGAUAGCCAAAGCCGAAGCAUCUUUUUGCUAUUGAUCAGCAAGUUUCCAAAAUAAGAUGCCCUGCCAGCCUUUGGUCAGACCUCGGAAGUUGUCCCGCUCCAUUCCCCACUUGCCUCCCUCAGUCUUCAGAAAUGGACCGGUAGACCAUUUGUGCCCGCAGUGUGGCUCAGUCACGGCCUCCCACCCCUCAAUUCGUGAACACCGUGCGAGCACUCAGUGAGGAGGGGCACUUGGCAGAAAGAGCCAGGAGCAGCUUGGAGCUCAGGGCUCCGGGUGAGGAAACAAGGCAGGUACGAGCACCAUUCACAUCAACGCAGAGGGAAUGUCUGGCACACAGAGAAUGCCCAGCGUUUGUAGGGCAAAUGUACGGUGGGUGCGGGGGUGGGGGUGCUCAUACAUCGGCUGUCUCUUCUCAGAUGAAGCUUUCAGCAGAACUGGGUUUUGAGGCAUGCAUGGGCAGCUGUUAUCACAUGAUGGGGAUGUGGAGGAGAGGUGGGGUGUCGUUUGAAGAAGAGGGAACAGCAUAUGCGAAGACACGGAGGCCGGAAGCAGCACAGGGUUGCCACGGUAUUACAAGCAGGUCUGGAGGAACACGGGGAAAUGGGGUGGGGGAAAAGCAGGGUGCGCGAGCAGGAGUUUGGGCUGAAGAGGAAGGCGGCUUUAUCCCAUGGCAGUGGGGAGCUCAUCAAAGGUUUUCAGCAGGGGAAAGGCAUGAUGAUAUUUUCUUUUUAGGAAGGUCACUCUGGUAGUCUGUGUGGGGCUGAGAAGGACAGAAGGGAGACAGCCAGGGGGCUGGAGGCUGUCCUAAUGGUCCAAGUGAGAGGUGGUUCAGCCUGACUUAGGGCAGCGGCAGGGUUGAGGACAAGAGACUGAUUCUAGACACCUUUGCGCCCUAGAACGGACCAGGCUAGGUGACUCAACUGUCAAGUAUGUAUUACGCUCCUUCUUCAUGUUUAAGAAAACAUGUACGUGUGUGAGAGAGGAGAGGUACAGAGAUGGAGGAGACCCGUCCCUACCCUUACAGGGGGAGGCCGACACACAUCUGUUCACCGUGUGGACGGAGUGCCUGCUUGGCUCGUGCGCACAGAGGAACACAACAGAAGGUCCGCAGAAGCCAACCGUGCCGGCAGCAGUGCCACGAAGUGCCGUAGACAGAGGUGCCAGAGGGACAAUCCUAGCUGGCGGAACUCUGUGAGGCCAGAUGGAGGGGCGGCAUUUUAGUGGGACCUUGGGAUGUGGCAAGGGCAGCCAGGGGGAACCCGUGAUGCUUUGAGAGGCCACUCCAGGCAGAGGGAAGAGUCUGAGCGAGGGCACAGCGAUGUCAAGUCCCAAGGAACGGUGAUUCAGUCUGGUGUCCGUGUGUGUGUGUGUGUGUGUGUGUGUGUGUGUGUGUGUGUGUAUAUAUGAUUAGAGAAGGAGAGAGAGAGAGGAGAUGGCCAGGGCAGCUAGGGGUAGACCGUGGUGAGCCUCAAACACCAGCCUAAGGAGCAGGGGUGGGUUGGGUCAGCCCUAGAAAAUCACAAAGUCUUCUGUGCAAGGCAAGGGGCAUGGUCUGAGCUGUGCUUCAGAAAGAUGAAUCUCGUACCAUGUUCAGCACAGCUGAAGGGACAAGCCCUUCCCAGGGUGGGGAAAUAGGUAGGUGGUCAUUGGCAUAGCCAUCGUGAGAGAUGAUGCUCUGGACAAGAUUUCUAGCAAAAAAAAAAAAAAAAAAAGAAAGAAAAAAGAAAAAAAAAGAAACCAAGGGGAGAGGUGUGGGAAAUAUUGCAAAGGCAGCCUAUGUAAGUAAGAGUCCACAAGUGCUGAUCGUCUGUUUGCUGUUUAUUGUCCAUUUACUGUUUAUUGUCUGUUCACAGGGUCAGGCUCUGUGCUAGGCACUAAGGGUGUGGGCAGAUUCAGGCGCAGUUUACAAGGAUCCCUUGCUUGGCAGGCUUGGUGAACUCACAGACCAAGGCGGAGAAGAAAGGAAACGUUCGUCGCCUUUUGAGGACGUGCCAGCACUUAUCGAAGUGUUUUUUGCUUGCCGAAUCCUAUGUUCAGCACACCAAGGAUCCAGGGAUACCUACGACAAGAGCCUGCCCUCAACUCUGGUGGGAAGACAUAGAAAUGAACAGUUCACAGCACUCCCUGAGGCCACCCCACUGCCUGGCCUUGUGCUGGGCCCUGGACCUCCGACUCUGAAGACCAGUGAAACCAGUUCAGGGGCGGAAGCAGAGAUGGAUGUAGGCAGUUAUCACACAACGUUCUCUGAGCUGACACAGAGAAAUGCAGGAAUCUGAGGGAUCCCAGAGGGGGGGCCCUAGCCCAGCCUGGGAGAAGGCUGCAGGGAGGGCUUCCUGGAGGAGGUAACAUCUGAAUUUUAUUUUAUUUUUUUUCCCUAUAUGAGGAAUAUUCUCUUGUUCUGGAAACAUGGCUUUAGCAACCCUGGAAAACACGAGGUUGAGGGGGAACUGAACUGCCCCAAAGCACUCUUAAUUUUUGCUUCUUGGAGGUUUGGAUAAUCUUGAUUGGCCCACGGGAUCCUAAUGUGGGCACUUUUGCCAUAAUGUCAUAUGCAUGGCCCUGAAAAGAAAACAAACGAAAAUCCUUUUGCAAAAUCCCCUGGUGUAAAAAUGAUAGGGUUUCACAACAACAGUGGAAUAAGUUAAAACCUAUGGGUCUUUGUAAGCAGAACUCUAACAAAAACAGCACCAAUCCUAAUAAAUGGUGGCUCAGUGGCUGCCGGCCUUUUUACCCAGCAUCAAGGUCACUUUGUGCUAGCAGCCUUAAGCCUGAGGUACCUCGUCUCAGAUGUAGGAUUUUUGCGGCAUUUGCCUCUGACGGAACCAGAUUCAUCAAAGUGACAACUGUGGAGUUGCCCCCCUCUGGGAUCCCUCAGAUUCCUGAGCUAUGAUUUAGACUUCUUCAAAAGCUAAAACAGUUUCUCAUAAAUACAAGAGGAAGUGUCUCCACAGUUUCUUCAUCUGCACGAUCCGCUUCCUCAGAGAGCCUACCAUAGUGGAAAGGACAGUGGUUCCUGAAGCCACUAAAUCAGCAACAACACAUACCAGAGAAAAGCACUUCUGCAGGAUUUUCAGCAUUUCUGUGAGAUCUUCUGAAAAGGCUAGAGCUUCCUCUUUAGUGGUGAGAAAGCUUGUUCCUAAUUGCCUCAAAACACAAGCAUGCUGGAAUAUAUUAUACAGGAAUCAAUAUGGCUCCCACAUAAUACGGACACUACAGCCCUCCUUACCAAUCGUGCGCAACUACUCCUGUGAGAGAAACCCGCGUUUCAGCAGAACAGACCGUUCUGAAUCUUCCCUGGGGAGGAACAUUUAGAGUGGUUUCUUCUGCAGGAGGUUUUCCCAGAACCUCUGGUCGCUUCUUUCUUCCUGCUAAUGGUCAGAGCCCAUUCUCCCUUCACAGGGCAGGCGACCUGUGACAGGACGCUCUUUUCUUCAGCCAUCACAGCAGUUUUGUGGAUGAAGACAUGCAAGUGACAGGCACCAUCCCCACUGAUCCCUCUCAGGGGGAGGAGGAGGGAUUUAAUCACUGCUGAGGGCUCCCCGGCCGCAAGGCUUGUGCCAGACAUCUGCCAUAUGGCACUUAAUUUCAUCUUUACAGCAGCCCGCUGAGACCAAGGAAGGUUUCAUUCCGAAACAGUUUGAUGUUGCCUUCACUUCUCAGGGGAGGGACCAGGAGCUCAGAGAUGUUUAAGGUGACCUAGCUGAGCAGUGGUAGGGUAGAAAGAGAACCCACCCUGCGUGAAGAUAACACCUGUGGUCUUUCCCUACGGUUCCUCAAGGAGGCAAGCUGGCAACUGGCAGCAUAAUGGAUGAGCUUACCCCUCUGCAGAGCAGCCCUGGAAAGCCUGGAUGCCUCCCAGGCCCAGAGCAGGAAGCUUCUCCCUGAGCAGGACCACGUGAAUAAUGACUCUCAUUUAGGGGAGCAUUUAUUAUAAGCCGGGCACUAUGCCCAAUGGCCCACAAUAUUAUCUGCCUAAACUUCCUCCCAAACUCUGUGAAAUAAGGAUUUUAAAGCCCAAGUUGCAAGCGAGGGACCUGGGACCAAGAGAAGUUCAGCAACUUGCCCAAAGGGCUUGUUAUGCAAAGGGUGGGAAUCUGAAUCUCCAUCCCACAGAUUCCGUGUGAAUCUAGAAUCAGUGAAGCCCGACAGGGCUGAGACAACUUCCUGUUUGUCUCAAGAGUGUCCAUGGAGGCACUAAGGACCAAGGGAAGAACAAUCUACAUGAGAUUUACUGAGAGACUAAAACCCUUACUGUGAAAAUACACAGAAAGCUGGAGAAGGGGGAGGUGAGGGUUUCACUGGAGAGUGGACGGUAUUGUCCAUCUCUGUCCCUGCCUGUGCCCCAUCCUGACUUCCACAUGGGAAGGCUAAAGGGGAUCCUCUUCCUUACUGAAGCCAACUGAGGGGGCUUCCAGGAAACCAUCCAGAGAAUGUGGCUUCGACAUUUUGUGAGCGUAGAGAUCAGUACCUGAUCCGCACCUAAAAACGUGUAUUGGCUAGAGGCUUGGUUAGAGCGCCCACUGGUGGCAAAAUCAGGAGAUGGUUUUACUUUAAGAACAGCCCAGAUUCUGGCUGAGCAAGGGGGUUUUUGCAACCGGCCAGAUGUGCCCCCAAGGAGUAGAGUUGGAUUAAGAGGGCAGGUGGCCUCUCAGAGGGGACAAGCUGGAGCUGAGCUGAGACGAGAGGAGAGCUUUCAGCCAGAGAAGGCAAAGCCAUAUCAAGGCACUUCCCCAGGGAUGGGGAAGGGCUGUGAGGGACCCACAGAUCCUCCCACAAGACAAAUGCCAGUGAUUUUGCACAGGUAUCUUGAAGAAGGACCCAACGCCAGGUUAAAUCUGCAACGGUCACAUUAAUCCUUGUCUGUUCCUGAUCUCCACUUGCACCUCCCAGUGUGCUGGAGGGGAGUGAGGGUGGGGGCACAAUAGCAGCUAGAGAAUGGGGGUGGAGGUGCCAGGCCCACCAAGGGGACCCACUCAGAGACCACUAGCUUUGGACCACACCCCUUUGGACCCUGGACUCCGUCACUCCCUUCUGAGGCCAAGGGGACAAUCAUUCAAAAUAGUUCAUUUUUUUAUAAUGAUGAAACACUCCACGUCUGGAAUGAAUCCUAUUUUUUUUUUCGUAUUAGUAGGGGUCAGCCUAAUAUCUCUUUAGAUUAUUGCCGUUCUUUCGCUCUGCAAUAGAUGUGAGAGGUGCCUGUUGCUUUAAAUGAGCAUGUGAUUACACCAUGGCUGCUCAGUUCCUUCCCUUAUCUUCUGUGAGCACAGAUGUUCCUAAAGGAAAGCCCUCCUUCGGAUAAGAAUCUUACACAAGCCACAGACAGGAGGAGGUAGUGGCACGGUGGAGCCCAGCACUGAGCAGAAACUUUGUGCCCUGAGGAGAAACUUUCUCAUACUCCUGCGGAGGUGGAUGAGGAACUCUGUGUGUAUGAAGACAUGAGGGGAAGUGCCCGUCCCCUCAGACAGGGCUCACAGGUCACUGUGUCUCU